AGGUCAUUACCAAGGCUUUUAGAAUGCAGUUUCUGGAUUGCUGUGGACAUGACCUGAGAGAAAACACCUGCUGGCUUGUCUCUGCUACCUUGUAGCAUUCAGUCAGAGGGGGACAUUC